CCGAGAUAGGGGUACAAAUCCUGCCACUGGCGUUUCCCUGGACCUAAGCGAUGAUGCGCAAGCUAGCGACGAGUCUCGGCGUUUAAAGGCUCGUGUUCCGUUCGCGGCGGAGGGCCUUUAAAC
ncrna:unclassified sequences Flavobacterium-1 RNA